UCGGGAAUUUUGGGCAAUGGGCGAAAGCCUGACCCAGCAACGCCGCGUGAAGGAUGAAGUCUCUCGGGAUGUAAACUUCGUAAGAAUAGGAAGAAUAAAUGACGGUACUAUUUGUAAGGUCCGGCUAACUACGUGCCAGCAGCCGCGGUAAUACGUAGGGACCAAGCGUUGUUCGGAUUUACUGGGCGUAAAGGGCGCGUAGGCGGCGUGGUAAGUCACUUGUGAAAUCUCCGAGCUUAACUCGGAACGGUCAAGUGAUACUGCUGUGCUAGAGUACAGAAGGGGCAAUCGGAAUUCUUGGUGUAGCGGUGAAAUGCGUAGAUAUCAAGAGGAACACCUGAGGUGAAGACGGGUUGCUGGGCUGAUACUGACGCUGAGGCGCGAAAGCUAGGGUAGCAAACGGGGAUUAGAUACCCCCGUAGUCCCUGAGCGGGCUGGCAAGGCGCAU
rnacentral:rRNA from 1 species